CUCAGACCUCAUCUCGUGUGACUACACCCUGAAAUUUUACAUAUCUCAACGGGAAGAAAAAA
rnacentral:rRNA from 1 species